rnacentral:rRNA from 1 species
AUUGAACGCUGGCGGCAUGCUUUACACAUGCAAGUCGAACGGUAACAGGCCUUCGGGUGCUGACGAGUGGCGAACGGGUGAGUAAUGCAUCGGAACGUACCCAGAGGUGGGGGAUAACGCAGCGAAAGCUGUGCUAAUACCGCAUGUGAUCUGAGGAUGAAAGCGGGGGACCGAGCAGCAAUAUUUGGCCUCGCGCCUUUGGAGCGGCCGAUGUCGGAUUAGCUAGUUGGUGGGGUAAAGGCCUACCAAGGCGACGAUCCGUAGCUGGUCUGAGAGGACGACCAGCCACACUGGGACUGAGACACGGCCCAGACUCCUACGGGAGGCAGCAGUGGGGAAUUUUGGACAAUGGGCGCAAGCCUGAUCCAGCAAUGCCGCGUGCGGGAAGAAGGCCUUCGGGUUGUAAACCGCUUUUGGCAGGAACGAAACGGUGUCCGCUAAUACCGGGCGCUAAUGACGGUACCUGCAGAAUAAGCACCGGCUAACUACGUG